rnacentral:misc_RNA from 1 species
UCUCCGUUGGUGAACCAGCGGAGGGAUCAUUACCGAGUUUACAACUCCCAAACCCCUGUGAACAUACCUAUCGUUGCCUCGGCGGUGCCCGCUCCGGCGGCCCGCCAGAGGACCCCCAAACUCUUGUUUUAUACAGUAUCUUCUGAGUAACACGAUAAAAUAAAUCAAAACUUUCAACAACGGAUCUCUUGGUUCUG